AGAGUUUGAUCAUGGCUCAGAUUGAACGCUGGCGGUAUGCUUAACACAUGCAAGUCGAACGGUAGCAGGCCUUCGGGCGCUGACGAGUGGCGGACGGGUGAGUAACGCGUAGGAAUCUGCCUGGUAGUGGGGGACAACGUGGGGAAACUCACGCUAAUACCGCAUACGCCCUACGGGGGAAAGCGGGGGCUCUUCGGACCUCGCGCUAUCAGAUGAGCCUGCGUUAGGUUAGCUAGUUGGUAGGGUAAAGGCCUACCAAGGCGACGAUCUAUAGCUGGUCUGAGAGGACGAUCAGCCACACUGGGACUGAGACACGGCCCAGACUCCUACGGGAGGCAGCAGUGGGGAAUAUUGGACAAUGGGCGCAAGCCUGAUCCAGCAAUACCGCGUGUGUGAAGAAGGCCUUAGGGUUGUAAAGCACUUUCAAUUGGGAGGAAAACCUGCCGGUCAAUACCCGGCAGCUUGACAUUACCUUUAGAAGAAGCACCGGCUAACUCCGUGCCAGCAGCCGCGGUAAUACGGAGGGUGCGAGCGUUAAUCGGAAUUACUGGGCGUAAAGCGUGCGUAGGCGGUUCGUUAAGUCAGAUGUGAAAGCCCCGGGCUUAACCUGGGAACUGCAUUUGAAACUGGCGGACUAGAGUUGAGUAGAGGGGAGUGGAAUUUUCAGGUGUAGCGGUGAAAUGCGUUAGAUAUUCUGAAGGAACACCAGUGGCGAAGGCGACUCCCUGGACUCAAACUGACGCUGAGGUACGAAAGCGUGGGUAGCAAACAGGAUUAGAUACCCUGUUAGUCCACGCCGUAAACGAUGUCAACUAGCCGUUGGUCCCUAUUUACAGGAUUAGUGGCGCAGCUAACGCAUUAAGUUGACCGCCUGGGGAGUACGUCCGCAAGGUUUAAAACUCAAUUGAAUUGACGGGGCCCGCACAAGCGGUGGAGUAUGUGGUUUAUUUCGAUGCACGCGAAGAACCUUACUUGCCCUGGACAUGUCCGAAUUCCUGUAGAGAUGCUGGAGUGCCUUCGGGAUUCGGAACACAGGUGCUGCAUUGAUUGUCGUCAGCUCGUGCUGUGAGAUGUUGGGUUAGUUCCUCCACCGAGCGCUACCUUUGUCCUUAAUUGC
rnacentral:rRNA from 1 species